rnacentral:snRNA from 1 species
UCACUCUGGCUUCACUGCACAACGUCAAAUCCCCUCGCCUUUUACUAGGGGUUACCGUGCAGAGGAGCAUUAUAAUGAGUCUAAAUCUCAAAUUUUUUCAGCNNNNNGCAUCUCUUUUUUAAUGUC